ensembl:snRNA U6 U6 spliceosomal RNA
UGUUUGUGUGGGCAGCGCUAUACUAAAAUUGGACUGACCUAGAGAAGAUCAGCAUGGUCCCCAUGUAAGGAUGACACGCAAAUUUGUGAAGCGUUCCAUUUUUUU